rnacentral:tRNA from 1 species
GUAGUCGUGGCCGAGCGGUUAAGGCGAUGGACUAAAUCCAUUGGGGUCUCCCCGCGCAGGUUCGAGUUCUGCCGACUACG